AAUGAACGCUGGCGGCAGGCCUAACACAUGCAAGUCGAACGGGUAUCUUCGGGACAAGUGGCGGACGGGUGAGUAACGCGUGGGAAUAUACCCUUUGGUACGGAAUAGCCUCGGGAAACUGAGAGUAAUACCGUAUGUGCCCUUCGGGGGAAAGAUUUAUCGCCAAAGGAUUAGCCCGCGUUGGAUUAGGUAGUUGGUGGGGUAAUGGCCUACCAAGCCGACGAUCCAUAGCUGGUUUGAGAGGAUGAUCAGCCACACUGGGACUGAGACACGGCCCAGACUCCUACGGGAGGCAGCAGUGGGGAAUCUUAGACAAUGGGGGAAACCCUGAUCUAGCCAUGCCGCGUGAUCGAUGAAGGCCUUAGGGUUGUAAAGAUCUUUCAGAUGGGAAGAUAAUGACGGUACCAUCAGAAGAAGCCCCGGCUAACUCCGUGCCAGCAGCCGCGGUAAUACGGAGGGGGCUAGUGUUAUUCGGAAUUACUGGGCGUAAAGCGCACGUAGGCGGAUCAGAAAGUCAGAGGUGAAAUCCCAGGGCUCAACCUUGGAACUGCCUUUGAAACUUCUGGUCUUGAGUUCGAGAGAGUGAGUGGAAUUCCGAGUGUAGAGGUGAAAUUCGUAGAUAUUCGGAGGAACACCAGUGGCGAAAGCGGCUCACUGGCUCGAUACUGACGCUGAG
rnacentral:rRNA from 1 species